rnacentral:lncRNA from 1 species
CUUGUCCUCUUGGCUUGGGGUCAUCAAAACUCCACUGCCUCCAUCCCUGGAUUCCUGGCUCCCGUCUGCCCUCACCUUGGCAAAUAAUCCCUUUGUUCCCCAGAGCCCUUGUCUUUGGCUUAAAACAAAAUGUGGAGGAAUGGCAUCUGCUUCUAGGACAGUGUUCUCCUUGCUUCCUGGGAUCCUGGAGCAGAGAUCUGGCUCAGUCAGAACUAUCGCCCCUUUCCAGAGAUGUCGUCAAUACGGGCAAUAGUCAGGGGGAUGGAGACAGAGGAUGGGGAACAGUGGUGAUUUUCACCCAGAGCCGGAAAACCGUGUGCCGUCAUUGGAUCUCACAGAACACAGUCCAGCUGUGAUCACCAACCCACUUGCUCCCCUGUAAAUUGACCAUGUCACAGCUAAUUCCUCUCGGAGGUUUGACAUCACUUAUCCCCUCCGACUAAUGAGGAUCGGAAGGGCAUUUGGAAGUCAUC